UGAAACCUCAGGAAGAUUUCCAUUUAGGUCAUCUUGUUUCCCAGAACUGCUUGAAGGUGACUUCUUCACAACAGGUCCUUUCACAAACAUAUUGGAGCUAGCAGGGAGGGAUAUUGUUCCUUGUGGAAGUGGCGGGAGAAGCUCAUUUGCUAGGGUGACAAUCUCAAAAAUCUGCUCUGCUGGUCUACUUAGAGCUGGAGGAACUGAUGAGUUAGCUGAAACAGCAGAGCCUGAUAAUAUAUCUUUGAGAAUGCCACUGAUUCCAAGGAGAAGUAAAGUUUUGGCUCCUAGAGGGGACCCACUUGCAAACGUGGAUAGCAGUCGGAUUAAGCCCGUGUAUGUAGGUGGGCUUAGUAAUGCCUGUCCACCUCCAGAAUUACUAGUGGAAAUAAGAGAGGCAGCUUGUGUGACCAGUCCAUGANUUACAUAGUUCAUCCAAUUUGUCUGGAGACGAAGCAAAUGUUUCGGCAAUCCGAGUCAAACAAACAGAAGCAUGCUCCAAUACCUUCGCAUCAUGGUAAUGAAGAAGAUUUGUCAACAAAGGAACCGCUUCCAUCACAAAGUCAGCAGCAUCUGAUGGGAGUUUCUUGCACAUAUUUGCAGCAGUAGAUAAUGCCACCCGCUGGACUCCAGUCGAGAAGAAAUCCAAAUAAGAAAGCACCGCCAUAAGAGCACCAGCUCGCAGACAAGCAGUCGGGUGCUCCUGAGAUAUCUUUUUGAGCGCUUGCAAGGACUGUUCAGCCAAGUCCAUGUAUUCAAUAGUAAGCAACCUAGCAACAAAGCAUUGAACAGCGCCAUAAUGCACAACAGCUGCACAAGAUGAAGGCAACACAUCACAUAAAUGAGUGAUUGCCCU
rnacentral:misc_RNA from 1 species